rnacentral:rRNA from 1 species
CCUACGGGUGGCAGCAGUGGGGGAUAUUGCACAAUGGGGGAAACCCUGAUGCAGCGACGCCGCGUGUGGGAAGACGGUCCUCUGGAUUGUAAACCACUGUCCCCAGGGACGAAGAUGACGGUACCUGGGGAGGACGCUCCGGCUAACUACGUGCCAGCAGCCGCGGUAAUACGUAGGGAGCGAGCGUUGUCCGGAAUUACGGGGUGAAAAGGGAGCGUAGGCGGGGAUGCAAGUUGGGUGUCAAAACUACCGGCUCAACUGGUAGUCGCACUCAAAACUGCAGCUCUUGAGUGAAGUAGAGGCAGGCGGAAUUCCUAGUGUAGCGGUGAAAUGCGUAGAUAUUAGGAGGAACACCAGUGGCGAAGGCGGCCUGCUGGGCUGUUACUGACGCUGAGGCUCGAAAGUGUGGGGAGCAAACAGGAUUAGAUAGCCUAGUAGUC